CGUUGUUCCUGUAUUACAAUGCCAUGUCAGACCACACCAUAUUUUCAAGUACCACUGCCUGUAACUGUGAGCUGAAUAAUUCAGGUGUUCUGAGGUGUUUCAUUUCUCAUUAAAACUAAAGACUUCAACAGAGACUAGUUAUUAAAGAUAGAUAACAGAUAACACCACAAUGCAACCAGACGGUCAGCAAGCAAGGAAGGCUUUCAUUUGUUACUGCAGUGUAAUGGGCUAUACUGUGUGUCUAUCAAUUGGAGGCUUAAGUAGAGCACAACAAAGCUGGGUUCUCAUCUCAGUUACAUGGGUGUUCUUCACCCAUUGACACGCCUGGCACCAAGGGAAGUUUGAGCUGAGGGUUUGCUCUUGGUUUGUCUGGGCCAUGUUUGGGUUUUGUUUGGUUUUAAAGAAAGAAGCUCUAGAGCCACUCCAGCUACUUACUGAACAUCUAACCUCUGUGCUAGCUUGGUUCUUUUAUCUGUGACACUGAUUUACUUCAAUCAUAUCUAUAGAUUCAUAUUACUUCAGGCAAUGAUGAUAUGCCGAUUACAUACAAGCAUGUGCUUUGCAAGAUUUUUGUAAGCCCAUGAAGUUUGCAUAUGGAAGCAUGAUACAAGCACAAAGAUUAAGUCAAUCUGUCUUUAGGCAGAUGGGACUCCUAACACUUUCAGCUAUCACACUGGUUUGUGAUUAGCCAUUUUAAAAAAGGAAUGUAGUAAAAAUGAGGACUUGACUCCACUGAAUUAAUCCCUAAUAUUCUUCUCCAUCUCUAGUGGCAAAUUAAGCACUACACUGCAUGCUCCUGACCAUAAAGACCACAUUCUGUGAAGCUCCUGUUUUCCUUGUUCAAGUUCAUUUCAAGUCAACUGUUACCAGAGGGACUGACUUGGAUUUUGGUAAACUCUUACCAAAGUCCAGCUGGUGUUUGUAGAUCAAACCACAAAUACAAGAGAACUAAAUACUUAUCCCUGACUAAUAUGUUUCUCACACUCAAAUUCACAGUGAAUAGCUUGUUACAAAAUUGAAGAGGUAUUCAGACUACUUGAUCAUUCUUAUGCUUGUUGGAUUUUAUAUCAGUACAAGCUAAAAUUAACAUUGAUGUUUCAGAAAAGCGGUAGUUUUUCUAGCUGAAAAAGAAAGUAAAGAGUCCAAUGUAACAACGAAAGCCACCUUUGUGGGGGAGUCUGUUUGUCCAUGUGCUGAAUUCCGGCAACUUCAGACAGCACUGUGCAAAGUACAAAGAUCCAUCCCAGUUGAGUUGACUGAAGAACUGGGGACAAACUGAUCAGGUCUGAGCCAAGGUCCACUGGGCAUUUCUAGGAAGUAGGUAUUGUAAAAUAAAUACAAUAUUCACUGAAGUUUGACCAGGACUUGGGUCUAUCCAAAAAAUUCUUCAUCUUCCUUCCCCCAAUUUAGCACAGCAUACAGCCUCCUUGGUUUAUGAUGCCAAACACAGCUUUGCAACUCUUCUUAGCCUCCUCAAGACUCUCUUUAACUGGGUUACCAAAAGAAGGCAAUGAUAAAUAUGUCCAUGCUGCAGGCUGGUUAUGCAGUUUUUGCACAACCUGAAGCUAACUGAAGAAAUAGCACAAGCUCUGGGAAAUCCAAAAGGAGAAGUCACACCAUCAUUUGCAUUUAAGCCACAUUCACCCACAUCUUCUGCAGUCUCACUACCAGCUUGUUCCAUGGCUCAAGCACACUAUUGCUGUAUCCCUGCUGAAUACUGGUGUCUGUGGUUGAUGGCAAUUAAUCAUUUCCUUGGGAGAAGUUCAGUUAAAGUUGGCAUUGGUUAAACAGUAACCACUGAGUUAGAUAACAUUAUCACUUAGGCAUUAAAAGAUAGCCUGGUUUUCUCCUUCAGAGUUAAACAUGUAGGAGACGCCUGAAUCCCAGAAAACCCUCAUACAUCUUAAGUGUGAAACUCCAGCUAAGGUUAUCUUCCUGUCCUGGGAAGAGUCCCAACAUGCAUCAGAGGGAGAGAAAGGGAGGAGGCUGCACAACUGCCAUGUCGUAUGACUGGCAUCAACAGGAAGGCCCCUCUUGUCCUCCCCACAGCAAAUCCAAGCUAGGCUACUUCAUCCCAAUAUGCACUAAGCCAACAGUCAUCAUCAGUUAACGAGGAAUCUUAAUCUAGUGAGAUCAAAGUAAUGCUUUUAUAUACUGCUUACCACAGACAUCCAAGACCAGUUUCCUUAAGUCUGUGCCAUAGCAAAAACACGUUUGUAAAGGACAUAUAUUCCAUGUUUUCAUGCCAGAGUCAAGUGCUGCCCAAAAGCUCCACAGCUUGGCAAGUGCAGAGAGUGCUGGAAAAUGUUCUUCCUAAAAUACCACAAUUGUUUAUCAUUAGUGCUAUUGAUGCAUUUCAACUUAAUAAAAUGUUAUGAAAGCCAUUA